rnacentral:rRNA from 1 species
UACGGGGGGAGCAAGCGUUGUUCGGAUUCACUGGGCGUAAAGGGUGCGCAGGCGGCCAAGUGUGUGAGGCGUGAAAGCCCGGGGCUUAACCCCGGAAUUGCACCUCAAACUACAUGGCUAGAGCAUUGGAGAGGGUAGCGGAAUUCACGGUGUAGCAGUGAAAUGCGUAGAUAUCGUGAGGAACACCAGAGGCGAAGGCGGCUACCUGGACAAUUGCUGACGCUCAGGCACGAAAGCGUGGGGAGCAAGCAGG